rnacentral:pre_miRNA from 1 species
UCUUAUGGAUGAGCAAAGAUAGUGGCUUUUUUUUUAGACAGAAUCUACUCCUGGUGAAGAUGCUGUGAA